rnacentral:rRNA from 1 species
AGAUUGAACGCUGGCGGCAUGCCUUACACAUGCAAGUCGAACGGCAGCACGGGAGCAAUCCUGGUGGCGAGUGGCGAACGGGUGAGUAAUACAUCGGAACGUGCCCAAUCGUGGGGGAUAACGCAGCGAAAGCUGUGCUAAUACCGCAUAAGAUCUACGGAUGAAAGCGAGGGGAUCGCAAGACCUUGCGCGAAUGGAGCGGCCGAUGGCA